AUCACGUGUUUUCUUGGACAAAGAUGUUCAAACAACCGAAGAGUAUCUCACUUGGUAAGCAUUCUAUAUUUAAAUUUUGACCGUUGUAUUCCACAUUGUAUUUGAUGUUUGGGUGUUGGCUUCGGGAUGAACGCGAACUUAUCUGUUGCCAACAGAGUUAACGCAGACGUUGUCACUAAGACUGAGACAAUGACCAUAGGCGAGCUCUUAUUCUAUAUUCAGCAGGAAGAUGCCAAGGUUAUACAAUAUCAAUGAUUAACGCCUUCAAUAUGAUAGUCUUAAUCUCUUAAUUAAUUGUUUCGCAUCUUGCAGGUUGCUUGGUUUGAGUGCAUAGCAACCAUUGCUGAUGUUGUGCACGGUUCAUCCUGGUAUUACAUAGGCUGUGGUGUGUGCCACACUAAGGCAACCAAAGGGCCUACCACCCUUAUGUGUAAAAAAUGUGGGAAACCCGACAUUGUUGGUGUUCCACAGUACCUGGCCAAGAUCUCUGUGUAUGAUAAUGAGGAUCAGGCGUCUUUUGUGCUCCUCGGUGAUGCUGGACAUGAGUUAUCCGGAAGAAAAGCUUCAGAGUUGGUUGCAAGUUAUUUCGAGGUAAUUACAACCCUGUGUGCUUAUGUUAUUUGAAUCUAUAUUCUCCAAGAUAGCUAGAUAUAUAUAGUGACAGUUGUUUAAUGUAUAUUAGGCUAAUGAGAAUGUAGAAGAUGACCACUUGGUUCCGGUACCUCAGGCUCUUAUCGAUACCAUUGGACAGACUCGAAAAUUCAUUGUGAAAGUAUCAGAUCACAAUUUGACAGGCAAGACCCAAGCUUUGACUGUGACAAAGGUUCUCGCCCCAGAAGAUCAAGAAGCUGAAGCCCAAGGAACUCUGCAGAAUGGAGUUGCUGAUGGUGAUCCUUCCACAUGCGUUGGGAUAGUGAAGAGGGCUGCUGAUAAGGUCGAGGCAGAAGACCCCAAGCGAGCCAGAUGUGGCUAGGAUGUGUUGAAUCGUGGUUUUAUGAUUACUAAGACUCUAUGCUUUGUUUUUUUUUAAUCUCAGACUUUGUGUUUGCAACAUUGAACUAUCUUUCUUAUUGUCUCUGCAUAAUGUUUUUUACCUUAAGUUUGAUGUUUGAGUAUCUUAGUUUUGUUGGAUUUGAAGCUUUUACGAAUUUGGUUGUUUUAA